GUACUGAACCGACGACCACUCCCUCUCACUGCCGGACGAGGGACGAGGGUAAGGAGGGAGCGUCCUUGGGAUCGGCGGCGGGAGAGCGUGAGAGUUGGGGUGAACGGCUGCCGCGGCAGAGGAAGAGGGGCAACAGACUCGGUCCUGGAGGCAAGGAGAAAGCAACGGCCGGAGCGGUGACGGUGACGAGUGGCAGCGGUAGCGGUAGGGGCCCUCCUCACGGUCCCGUAGCGAGGGGGCACAGAUCCCAAAGCCGGAGGCGCAGAGGAGGUCGUGGCCGCUGGGAGGGGCACCGAGGCAGCGGUAGUUCCGAGGAGGCUGCGGUAGUUCUCACUCCUCCUGCUCCGGGUCGGUAGAGCUCGGGGCGGGGGAGGGGACGUGCGGCAGACAUAUGCUUCUGUAUCGUUGCCUCCGUCUACGGCGGCCGAGCUGAUAGCUCGCCGCUCCCGACGUGUUGUCCUCUUCUUCGGUUCUACUCCUUUCUCUCGUACCCGACGUGUAAGCCUACUUUCACAGCUUGGUAGACACCACAGUACUCUAACUGCAGCAGAACCGGCGGCCGCACGACGGCUUCCUCUCUACGUAAUCCCAAACAAGAGCACUAACGACCAACCAUCACGAGAAGACGGACGUCACUUAUCCAACAACGAGAGCUCCUAACCAGCUGGAGCAACGAAGCAACGUGUACACGAACAGAAAAAGCCGAAGAUGAUAAAACCCUAAUGUAGGAUAGACCGAAGAUGACAAAACCGUAGUACACACAAGUACGAACAAAGAAGUCACUAUACAAAUAAAACCGUAAUACACAAGUACAACAAACAACUUCCUAGAGGUAGAAUCCACACCUAGACAUAUAUAAUACCGUAGUUACCAGAUAAAACCGCAACAACUAAGUAGUGUCUAAAGUCGCCCCCACAUAACUGCCGUUAAAGUUCGACUAGCCCAACCGCGACAGUACCCACUGCAACGGUUGACCUCAUUGAUGUCAUCUGAGAGAUAUAGAUCGACAAGUUAAGUGGUGACUUACUGGCUUCGCCGAAGUCGGAUUUCAAAAUAGUCCUUUCCUAGAGUGGCAGUUUCUGAAGUUACUCCUCCUCUAGCUGCGAGGUCGAGGCACGAAGAGACAGGACUGGUGUUGUUCAAUACGUACGAAUGGAAAAUAGAUGGGUCCAGCUAAUCUUGUUCCGUAUUAACAAAUACGGUCUACACGUACGAGUUUCUAAAACCAGCCGUUGAAUAUCACACAUAGUUUCUUAAGACUUCUUUUUCCAAGAACGCCAACAACAAGGGUGCUGACGGCAAGCGCAAACAUGUUCUUCGAACUCCGCUGUGUCUCCAGUUUAUCCGCCGUAAAGUCAUAUCGAACUAACACGUAUAAGAGGAACUGACUUCUAAUGACUAUCUUGUCUCACUUGCUUACAUUAUCAGAUAUUCUACAUAGCCAAACAGCACACUAGGAAAACGUAUACAAAUACCUACCUAUCAGCUACGCGAGCGAAGUAUGGCAACGAUUAUGAAUGGAAGAGAACGUAUAAAGGGGUUCAGUACGUGUAUCGAUAAAAUCAUACCCAAUCCGUUAGAGGGAAACAUUUUUUUAUAUAUACAUACAGUGGAAAACACACUCACUUUAUAGGUAGUCGUAACAUGAACUGGUAUACGAGAAACAUGAUUUAAACAAAAAGAUGACUUGGCAUAAAUUCAAACAUUACCUAAAACUAAGAAACAUGGUCUGAUUACGAAGCAACUCUUUGUUGUCUGCGACCUAGUAACGGACUUCUGUCAGUAGUACGUGGUUCCGUCAAGGAUGGCCCAAUGAUAAUUAUCCACAACGGAAGGAGUACACAGAAACUCUUUAGGAUUACGAACUAGUCACCAGAGUCACAAAGGAAAACAUAGACAAACAGCAGUGAGAUGGAGAAUAGAGAAAAACAUGGUGGAAGUAACGUCAAUGCCUAUGUUACAAACCAACGAA
rnacentral:rRNA from 1 species